GCAAAACGCGAAGAACCUUACCAAGGCUUGACAUCCCUCUGACCGAUUUAGAGAUAGAUCUUUCCCUUCGGGGACAGAGGUGACAGGUGGUGCAUGGUUGUCGUCAGCUCGUGUCGUGAGAUGUUGGGUUAAGUCCCGCAACGAGCGCAACCCUUAUCUUUAGUUGCCAGCAUUUAGUUGGGCACUCUAGAGAGACUGCCGGUGACAAACCGGAGGAAGGUGGGGAUGACGUCAAAUCAUCAUGCCCCUUAUGUCUUGGGCUACACACGUGCUACAAUGGUUGGUACAAAGGGCUGCAAGCCAGCGAUGGUUAGCCAAUCCCAUAAAGCCAAUCUCAGUUCGGAUUGUAGGCUGCAACUCGCCUACAUGAAGUCGGAAUCGCUAGUAAUCGCAGAUCAGCAUGCUGCGGUGAAUACGUUCCCGGGUC
rnacentral:rRNA from 1 species